ensembl:lncRNA
CCGUCUUAGUUAAAAGUAUCUCAAAAAAAAAAAAAAAAAUAGUCCAUCUUCCCAGCCUCUACUCUAUCUGCACAGUACACUGUAACAAGUCUUUUGCUCUUCAGUAAUCAGGAUAAAUAAUCUUAGUUGCUGUAACAAACGACCCGCAAACUCAGUGGCUUAGCACCAGAGUCCACUGUGGGAGAGAGGAAGCGCUCUGUCCCAUGCAACAUUCAGAAUUUUCUACUAACUACUUAACUGUAUGUAACUAUGAUAAUAGAUAAGGCAAGAAGAGUGUGUCAAUAAUUUCACAGAUUUUAGGAGCCAGACCUUGAAGUGGCAUACAUCAUUUCUGCCUAUACUUCUCACCUAACUACUGAGUAGAUUGGAAUAUAAUCUGGCUGCCCAAGAGCAAAAGGAAUGGAUUUGUGAAUGUAAAUUCACCUCUCUGCUACAUGUCCCUCCUGAGAAACUCAAUGACCAUUUCCCAUAAUUUAAUAGGACCACUCAGUUAUAUUUAUUAUAACAAUAUCAGUUAUAUUGACUGUGUUGACCUCUCAUUCCAUCAUUCUCAUGUGUGAGGCUACAGUCUUCCAAUUCUCUUCUCCUUUAUGUUUUAUUUAUAUAACUAGCACAUGACACCACAUGCCAGACUCUAAUUGCUUUGUAAAUAUUAACUGGUUUAGUCUUCAUCACAAUAAACUAUGUACUUUUAUUCAACCCAUUUUACAGAUGAGAAAAUUGAGUUACAAAGAGUUUAAACAACUUGUCCAAGAUCACACAAUUAGUAGGUGGCAGGGGCCAGGUUUUUAAUCCAGUCAGUCUUAUCACCGCACUAUGCUGCCUUUUUUCUGUUUCUUCUGCUUCUCUUCCUUUAUCACUCCCCCGCGGCUGAUAACCUUCAGUUGGUUUACAAGCCCCUCCUCUCACAUUUUGUGCUUCUGAAUAAAGAAAGAAUUGUCGGCCCCCGGAAGACCCCACGCUGUGUCUCUCCUCCGUGCUUUUGCUCUUGGAGAAGGUCUCACUGGCUCACUGCAAUGCCCUUCCCAUCGCUCUUGAAGACACUGCUCAAGUGUCACCGCCUCCAAAAGCCUUCCAUACGUUCCCAAGUUGAAGAGCCUCCUUCCCAUCUUCUGUGCUAACAAAGGCGGGCAUUUACCAUCACAAGUCCCGGAAGGCUCUGCUUCCGGGUUCACCUGCUUCACCAGUCAGUGAGCCCAGGAGGGGCCAGUCCAUUCUGCUUUUCACCGCCAUCCUCUCCUACCCCAAGUAGGACGGCAGUAGGAGAGACCCCUCCUAGAGGACCGAAGGCCCGCAGCUCCGAGGGCUUAGCCCCGCCCCCUCGCCUG